UUCCAUCAAAACCAAUCAAAAUUCAUGCUACACAUCCACCAAGGACACACCAAAAGUUGAAAGCUGAGCCAGCCACUAUGGUGAAGCAAUGGAACCAGGACCCCAUGGUUACUCACAGAAAUGUCACCUGUGGCAGUUGGAACAAUAGCAAGCUAAUACAGAACCAGUCAAAAUCACACCAGUCAAAAAAGAUGAACCUCAAGACACGUUACGGGGCAACCGGUACAUUCCAGCCUCUCGAGCUGCAUGCUGUCAGCUCCUUUGAAGUGUUGUUUCUUUUAUGAAAAUGAAGAUGUUCAUUUUGCAACUUCAGAGAGUGCAAACUCUGAUUUGCAUGAAAGUAAAAUGCAUAAAUAAUGGCAUUCCUUGUAACUUAGAGACUAGUUUGGCAAGAGCAAAAUCUAACUUUAUUUUACAUCAAAGAAGCCAUGUUAAUUUCGGAUCCUGUAGAAAAUAUGAGCACACAUUACAAAAGGGAAUAAAAUGACCCUAGUUACUACAACGUUCUACAACUACUAAAGUGAAGAAGAACAUGGAUGAAAGGAAAUAUGGUUUUACUGCUAAUAGGAAUGUGGCAAUGUGUGACGUAUAAAAAGGGAAAA